rnacentral:lncRNA from 1 species
GUAUUUAGACUGAGCUUAAUCCUAAAGCAUGGAACAAAAUAGUCGCUAAUGGACUUCGGCCUUUUCCAUUCCCUGACAAACAUUCAAAUUUAACUCAUGCAAAUUAUUGCCCAUGAAGAUAACAGUCAAUCACAUAAAAGAAAGGAGAUUGAAUAAUGAUUCAACAGAACAAACACGAAGAUAAAAUCAAGAUGAAAAGUAGUGGAUCAAAGCAUGAUGAAGCUUAAAACCCCACUGAUCUCUCUUCCCUUAAGCUAUCAUGCUUUCUAAUAUCUCUUUUAUUUUAUUCCCUCUAUCUUUAUAACUGUUAGCUUUUCAAAUUCAUUUGCAAACCCAAAUUAGCAUCAUGUAGCCUCUCGUUAAUCUUACGGAAACAUACAUACAGAAGAAUUCAAAUUAGGCACAUCAGAACUAACCAUUCACAGCACCAGUGCUGCCUUCGAUUCCCAUUAUUUGAACUAACCAAUUUCUCAAAACCUCGCAACCACAAAUGCUAAACAUGCUCACUUUGACAUCGCAGAAAACUCAAAACAACAAUUGAUGCAUAGGCUAUCUCAAUAGGUGCAAGGAAUUGACUCAAAUAAUGCAAAUAUGGUGCAAAAGUAUACAAAGACUGGGGGGAAAGAGGAAAACAUUUUAAGGCUCACAAAUUAUUAAUCCAACUGAUGCAAGACAAGAAGAAUCAAGGAAAUACUACAAAAACUGAAUAUUUUCACAGUAAAUCUCUCAAACAGCAACUAUCAACUCACUCAACUAACAAGGAAUCUGAAAAGAGAAUCUCAAGAUGAACUCUUAACAUUUGAGAUUAGAGAAGAUAGAAUUCCAGUUUUUCAUUAAAUACAUCAUAUUCAACACAUGAUGUUUCAAAAUAUACCCAGACGCAGAAAACCAGCACUCUAAAAAACCAAAUAAGGGUCAGAACCUAAAGAAAGCAAGCCCAGCUACUGCAAGAGAGGCAGCGACAGAGAAAACCAAGCAAUGUUCCUGACUUUAAAGCUAGAGCUCAAACACAGCUAAUCAACAAAAAAGAAACGAAUGGUUGCUAUUUUAAUAAACUCUCAUUGAAGCAAAAGAUGAACAACAAAUCCUACAUUAACUGGAUACAACAAACUAUAACUCAAACUAGCAGAAAUUACAGAUGAAAGCUACUCAGCAGUGCAGCAAACUGGACAGAAAUAUGUUAAAGGAACUGAACUUGCAAGAUUUCUUAAUACAACUUCAGGUCAUAGCCCAUGAAUCAACUUCAUACGAUUCUCAGUCAACAACACUCCAAGUCAGUCUCCAUUUGUAUUCACAUUUCCAUAAAAACAACAAAACUACUCAAACAACCAUGUUCAAACUCAGAAAAAUAACUCAAAGCUUAACCAAGCAUCCCAAAAUCAUUCAGUGAUGUUAAUUUACUUCUUAGGUAUCCAGGAAUCUAUUCAAACAAACAAGACAUUUCAGAUCAGACAAAAUAGGAAAAAAAAAUAGGAGAGUUUGGAAAUGAACCUGAAAAUGAACUUUCGAUUAAUGUUAUUUAAUGAUUACAACGAUUCUCAGAGGAAGCGAGUCCAAAUAGAGAUUGUAAUGAACUCACGAACCAGAAGCUAAACGAACAGCGUUGGAGCAGCUCGAAACCAACAACACUCAGUCGACUUCCAUUAACUUAAAAUGAAAUCCAGAAAACAAACUCAACCUUCGAGCUCAAUCCAAACUCCUCAUGAAAGUGAAAAUUUCUGAACUUCAAGAUGAAAAGAACAAAGGGGCUAGGAUUAAAAACGAAAAUGAUUUUUUUUUUUGUAUUUUUCUAUUGCAAUUGGAAUUAAACCAAGAUGGUUUCGGAUGAAUAAAAGAGAGAAGAAGCUAAAUUAGAAUCCUAAUUUUCAGGUGACCUCCCUUCUCUCUCAAAAAUCCCUCCGAAUCAUCCCCCUUUACAAAGUCGGAUCCGGUCCUUUCUGAAAAUGAGCACCUGAUGAAUGUGGGUCUCGGAUUGAAUGAAAUCAAUUCAACGCCUCACACUCAUCCAACGAUCGUCCUUCAGAACCUUCCAAUCGCGUAAUAUGGUUCAAAAUCAGGCGAGUGAGGAGGGGGGGAAUCUUUGGUAUCAGAAACCGUUACAAAAUGGUAGGAGGAGAGAAGGGGGAGACACGUGGGGCG